rnacentral:rRNA from 1 species
GAUGAACGCUGGCGGCGUGCCUAAUACAUGCAAGUCGAGCGAACGGACGAGAAGCUUGCUUCUCUGAUGUUAGCGGCGGACGGGUGAGUAACACGUGGAUAACCUACCUAUAAGACUGGGAUAACUUCGGGAAACCGGAGCUAAUACCGGAUAAUAUUUUGAACCGCAUGGUUCAAAAGUGAAAGACGGUCUUGCUGUCACUUAUAGAUGGAUCCGCGCUGCAUUAGCUAGUUGGUAAGGUAACGGCUUACUAAGGCAACGAUGCAUAGCCGACCUGAGAGGGUGAUCGGACACACUUGAACUGAGACACGGUCCCGACUCCUACGGUCGGCAGCAGUAGGGAAUCUUCCGCAAUGGGCGAACGCCUGACCGAGCAACGCCGCGUGCGUGAUGAAGGUCUUCGGAUCCUAAAACUCUGUUAUUAGGGAAGAACAUAUGUGUGAGUAACUGUGCACAUCUUGACGGUACCUAAUCAGAAAGCCACGGCUAACUUCGUG